rnacentral:rRNA from 1 species
GCACCACAAGAGCGUGGAGUAUGUGGCUUAAUUUGACUCAACGCGGAAAAGCUUAUCUGGUCCGGACACAGUGAGGAUUGACAGACAGUUAGACAGAAGUGAGGUUUUGGUAACAAUUGAGAGAGUUGAAGUUCUUUCAUGAUCUUGUGAGAGGUGGUGCAUGGCCGUUCUUAGUUCGUGUAGUGAUAUGUCUGCCUAAUCGCGUCACGAUAACCUAUUGGUCGACAACCCAAUUAUCACAACUGCAGCAUAACUCCCCUUGGGUGGGCGAGGCUCUGUGUAGGAUAGACCUCUGAACAGUACGCAACGAACGCGAUCGUAAUCCCUUGUUGAGUGGCCAUCCUGUAAGCUGCUGGAUUAGGAACCCAGUGGUAUUAUCUCAGCCACAGAUUUUCUGGUUGUAGUGGGCCAGUUUUGAAACUCGGGGAACAUCUGUGACUUUCUUUC